UUUUUACUCCCUCCGUCCCAUAUUAAGUGAUGAAAUAUUACAUGUAUCUAGAGACUUUUUGGGUAUGGAUACAUCCAUAUUUGGACAAAUUGGAGUCAAUUAAUAUGGGACGGAGGGGGUACUAU
rnacentral:pre_miRNA from 1 species